rnacentral:rRNA from 1 species
CAAGUUAUAGAUUAAAAACAAGUCAAGUUAAGAAUAAAAUCUUUUUUUAACUUAACAAAGAAAUAGAUGUAAGAAGAUAAGUUGUAGUCCCUCUUCCACGGAGUACCAUUUUCGCACGGUUCUAAAAAAUUCAUGGGUCUGGGUAGGACAGGAGAUAUGUCUAAAAUCUCAAAUUGUGUAGUUACCUUCAAACAAGAGUUUUGACUUUAACAAGACGUACAUGACUUUGAUCAACAAUUAACAACCUCACAAAGCAAGAACGUCUUAUUUUUAUUCUACAUACGUAACGAAGAACCGGGUCGAACUCUCUUGGGAGUACAAUUUUUCAUAUUUCGUCAAAACUUCGUUGAGGGUCACAGAAAUCUUCGUAAGUACCAAUUUUUCGUUGCUGUUGGAGUAGUUAAGCUCAACUCGUGACCAGUAGCAGGUUCAACUCGUGAUCCACGGCAGGUUCAAUUUUUUCUCAUCAUACGUUCAUGUGUUCAAACAAAAUCACUCUUUUUACGUAUGACAGAAGAUAUUGAGCAAAGUGAAGUACUAAAGAAGUGGUCAAACAACAAAGGAUUAAU